rnacentral:other from 1 species
AGCUCCCUGCCGUGUACGUGUAAGACUGAAAUUCUUUGAACCAAUUAUCAAAUCAGGUUGUUGACUAAGUGAUACUGUUGUGCACACCCUCCAAGGGUAUGCCUGAUGUAUCCGGGAAACGACCACCUUGAGCCUUUAGGUUCAAGAUGAUGGUCCAGGCGGCAUAUGCGGGGGGCUC